UUCUCCGACACCCUCCUCCUCAUCUGUUUUUCCUUCCUUAAAAGACGCAGAAACUGAGAUGUAGAGAGUUGAAGUAACUUGUCCCCAUUCACACAGCAAGGAAGUGUUGGAACUGAUUUUUUAGAAGUGUGACCCUCUGACUUGUCCUAGAAGAAGAGGAGAAAAACUAAAUCGAAUGGGUCAAGAACAGGAAAGGUGAAGUACCUCUGAAGUUACCAGGACACUCCCAUUUCAGAGAAGUUCUGGCGUGGAAGGGGAACCAACUGGCCUUUAGGGCUGGAGGAGCUAAUCACUGUCAGAAUCACUGGAGCUGGAGCAGCCCCUGGUUACCCUCUUGUCUAAAUGCCCUUUUGGGUAAGGGGACAAUUCUCAGGGACGCUAAGGGACAGCCCGUGAUGAUGGUAAACCAGGACUCUUGGCUUUUCAUCAUAAGACUUGUCUCCUUCCCUGACCAGAAAUUGAUCCUAGGCCACAGCAUGGAGCUUCACAAUAGAGAGUGACAAUGUUGACAGGGACACUGCGACCAGUAAACCAAGGUCCACGGAAACAAGCACACAGGACUUUCCAUCCCACACGCUGUGGAGCCAGUGAGUCCUGAAGGCGGCAUGUUUAUCCUGGGUGGAUUCUCGGGAAAAUCAUCACCUUCCUGGAGGAAGUUGAAGAGUCGAAAUGCUGCAAGAGAAUCUGUCCAUCCACCUAGAACCUGGGCAGUGGAUGGGGCUAGGGAGCAUCAUGAAGACAUGGAGGAUGCAUCUAGUGACCCAGGAAUUGUGUGAGAGCUUAAAACAGAAGAACUUAACCUGGACUAGUACUGGGAGAUUACUUUUAGGCUGAGAUCUGAAGUUAGAAGACUGAGGAAGGACAGGGAAAGUAUUCCGGUGGGUGUGAACAGCAGGUGCAAUAGCCCUGAGGUGAGUAGAACACAGUACAUUGGAGGAACCAGAAAGAAGGUCAUUGUGCACAGA